AGAGUUUGAUCAUGGCUCAGAACGAACGUUGGCGGCGUGGAUUAGGCAUGCAAGUCGAACGAAUCCCGAAGGGCUUGCUCUUCGGGGGAAGUGGCGAAAGGGGCAGUAAGGCGUGGCUAACCUACCCCGAGGACGGGGAUAGCCUUCCUAACGGAAGGGUAAUACCCGGCGUGAUAGACGGAGGACAUCCUCGGUCUAAGAAAAGAGAAUCGCCUCGGGAGGGGGUCACGUGGUAUUAGCUAGUUGGUGAGGUAACGGCUCACCAAGGCCAAGAUGCCUAGCGGGUGUGCGAGCACGACCCGCGCCACUGGCACUGUGACACUGGCCAGACUCCUACGGGAGGCUGCAGUCGAGGAUCUUCGGCAAUGGGCGCAAGCCUGACCGAGCGACGCCGCGUGUGCGAAGAAGGCCUUCGGGUUGUAAAGCACUGUCGAGGGGGAGGAAAGCCCGCAAGGGUCUGACCUAUCCCUGGAGGAAGCACGGGCUAAGUUCGUGCCAGCAGCCGCGGUAAGACGAACCGUGCGAACGUUGUUCGGAUUCACUGGGCUUAAAGGGCGCGUAGGCGGGCCGCCAAGUCUGUGGUGAAAGCCCCCGGCUCAACCGGGGAAGAGCCGCGGAAACUGGCGGUCUGGAGGGGUGUAGGGGCAUGCGGAACUUCCGGUGGAGCGGUGAAAUGCGUAGAUAUCGGAAGGAACGCCGGUGGCGAAAGCGGCGUGCUGGACACCUACUGACGCUGAGGCGCGAAAGCCAGGGGAGCAAACGGGAUUAGAUACCCCCGUAGUCC
rnacentral:rRNA from 1 species